GCCCUCCUCUUACUCAUGCCGUCCUUCUAAGGCAUUGACCAUCCGAGGAAAGAAGAACAUUUGAAAAAAAUCUUGAAGUUUAAGAUAAUUACCAAACCUACUAUCCAAUUCAUUGAAUUCAAUACUAAAACGAAUUUUAAAUUUGUUAUAUUUAAUAUACUAGUGACACAUAUAGCUAGUUUUUUUGGUAUAACAACCAA
rnacentral:lncRNA from 1 species